GUAGUAUUUCAUGGGUUGAACUGGAAGGACAUGGUUGUUUUUCAAACGUAACUUAAGAGCAGUUCUACUUUGAGAGCUUAACAUAUUCACGGAGUAUCCGGUGUGUAAGGCCAGUGUGUGAGAGUUAAACAACCAUGCCAUAAAUGGUUGUCUUCUUAUCUGGAAUUGAACUAUUAAAGUGAAUAUUUAGAUGUAGCACUUGUAAUAAUAAAGUAUAAAACAAUCUUAUAAACGGUUUAAAUGUCUUAAAUCAUCCAGAACAAUAACGAACCCGCACUCGUGGAACAAUAUAAUUAAUCAGUAUUAUUAUAUAAAUACCAUAAGUGUUACAAAAUGGCGCCCAACGUGGGGCUGUAACAGAAUUUAAAUUUUAAGACAUUUUAAGUGCUACUUUGCGCAUAACUAAUUUUUCAACUAUUGUCAACAUAUUGAAAAAUAUGAUCGACGAGGCCAUCGAUUUUCGGCUGCGGGAGGAGUCUGAGCCGCUACGGAUAUCGUGUUUGCAGACCGGAUAUCGUGUGUACAUGUACUGUACAUGAAGUUGCUUUUCCAUAUUCAGAUGUUUUUACUUUACCUGGACGUUUUGGUGCGGUUUUCAUUCCUAAGUGGCCAUCGUGCUGCCGCUUUUGUUCAAGUUUCCAGUUAUUCUGGUUGGACUAUUGUGUGGGUAUUUUGCCCGCAUAACGCAAAUCUUCGAGACCGUCGUUGUGGGUAUUUUGCCCGCAUUACGCAAAUCUUCGAGACCGUCAUCCUGCUCAUUAGAUCUUCACGGAAGAUAAGGACAAUUAACAUUUCAAAUUUCCAUAAAUGUGAACAUUGAACCUUUGAACAAUUGUGCAUCCAGUGACUGAAACAAAUUGUGUACAGCAUCCAGGUCAACUGAGCGUGAGUAGAAUUUUUGUAUGAAAGGUUCACUUGCAUGAAAUAUUAAUAUUUGGUGAUGGAAUAUCUCUAUUUUAAUAUAAAACCUAGUUAAUUAACUAAUAUUGCAUUUAAUUCUGUAGAAAUGCUGCAAUUGUCUUUUAAAUAGGUAUUUUUAAUUCACAGUGUAUUGAGAAAGUAAAACUAUUGGCAACCUUCCAGUUCUUUGGGUCUGUUUUUUUAAUGGAAGUUGCUCACCCUUUGUAUACAAAGUCUUAAAACUGGAUAAUUCCUGUUUGACAGUGAUUUAAUCUUGUGUUAUACUUUUCCAAGGUGUUUGAGUGCUUGAUAUUUUUGGUGUUAAGUGACAUCACAGAAUUUCUUACAUUUCAUUGGUUGUCUUUAUGAAUGACAUUCACUGACCAGUCUUUUGUAGUAGUAAUUCCUUUUAGGGAAUACACAGACAGUAAAACUGUUUUGGUUGUACAAUGUACAUGAAUGGUAGUAGUUUUGUGUAGUGUAGAAAUGAUGCAUAGGAUCUAGUAGAAUUGCUGUGUGGAUUAUAAGGUAAGUGAAAUAGAAAAAUUUAAUUAAAAUAUUUGUUGAAUAUUUAAAUAAGUGACCGACAAGAAAUUAAAAAUAAAUAAAUAAAUAAAUAUUAUUUUAGAAAAUAAUUAACAGAGUUGUGGCAUAAUAAAUGAAUGCCAGUGUUGCCAUAUGCACAACAACAACAGUAGUCAUCAACAACAACAGUAGUCAUCAACAACAACAACAACAGUAGUCAUCAUCAACAACAACAACAGUAGUCAUCAACAACAACAACAGUAAUAGUCAUCAACAACAACAGUAGUCAUCAACAACAACAGCAAUAGUUGUCAACAACAACAACAAUAAACAACAGUAACAACAAUACAUAAAAUAUUAAGCACUUAUUUGCAGUUUUUUUAUUAUUGCAUGAUUGUAGUUUAUUUUAAAUCUGAAUUUGAAAAAUAUUUUAUAUAGAUUGUACUUUGAUAUUUAUUUUGACAUUCAUUACCAUUUAUUGGAAUUGAACUUGCAUAUGGAAGGGAAAUAGUUAUUUUGCAUUUGAGUUUAAAUGUGAUGUUUGUAUUUGAAGAAUUUAUGUGGAUACAAACUGGAGUAAGGGAAUUUGAGUGGAAAUAAUUCCAAGUUGAAUACUGUGUUCAAUUAUUUUAUAUUGUGAUGUGUUUUUGACAUUACACACAUUCAACAGAAAUAAAUUACGCAUUGUAUUAUGCAAACAACUCGUGUGUUUACAGUGAAAUAAUGUGUCUUGAAGUAGCAUAUAUAGACAUUGUUGUGUUGUAAUAAAUACGUGCCUGUGUAUGAACAAUAUAGUGUGAACUUGACAAUUGUUUUGCGUGAACAUUCAAAGCGAACAGUGUUCUUGAAAAGUGUUGAAUCGUGAAGUUGUGUUUUAUUGUGAAUAGCUCAAAUGACACUGGAUUAAUGUGUUUUGAGAUUGACAAUUUUUAAUUGGUUGUACAUGUGUAACUGGAUUUAAACCUCAAGUGACAAUUGUAUGGUGUUUAUUGUGUAUAUAUUAUACCAAUAAUCAAUAAAUGUUAUGUGAACGUUUAUUUAGUAUAUGAUUUUUAAUUUGUAUGAGUUUGUUGUAUGUGGUGACUUGAGGAGUUAGUGAAGUGAUAUCCAAUUUUUUUAUUGAAGUCAAGUAUUUGUAGUAACAUGUCUAGCGAGGAUUUAAAGUCAAAUGAAGC